GCAGGGCUCUGGCAGUGCUCCUCCUGCUCCUCCUUGCACAAAGGCGGAGGUAGCGGUCCUGCUGCUGGGUUGUUGCCCUCCUACGGCCUCCUCCACGUCUCCUGAUGUACUGGCCUGUCUCCUGGUAGCGCCUCCAUGCUCUGGACACUACGCUGACAGACACAGCAAACCUUCUUGCCACAGCUCGCAUUGAUGUCCCAUCCUGGAUGAGCUGCACUACCUGAGCCACUUGUGUGGGUUGUAGACUCCGUCUCAUGCUACCACUAGAGUGAAAGCACCGCCAGCAUUCAAAAGUGACCAAAACAUCAGCCAGGAAGCAUAGGAACUGAGAAGUGGUCUGUGGUCCCCACCUGCAGAACCACUCCUUUUUGGGGGUGUCUUGCUAAUUGCCUAUAAUUUCCACCUGUUGUCUAUUCCAUUUGCACAACAGCAUGUGAAAUUGUUGGAGGAAAUUAUGGUUGAAAUGAAUAAUUAUGUAUACAUUCCAAUCAGAACUGACUAGUCCAAAUGCUAUAAUGUACUGUACAUAUGAAUUUUCCCUCUUGCUCCCUUUCCCAAUUGUAUAUAAUGUAGUCAGGAGUUUAGUAACAAUGAAGGUCUGUUCCUUAGUUCAUUCAUUUGGACAAUCUCCAGGUGGCAGGAACGGGCUAUCUCCAGACGGUCUAGAAUGCUGAUUUAUACUGACUGACCUUGACUUCAGGCGUGGAGCGAAAAGCUCGAGAAACUAUAGGGCCUCUAAGAGAUAGAAGGUUUAGAAAAUGCUGACGUCAUUUUCAGUUUAUAACCUGUGGAAAUAUGUGUAUGUGGUAGUACUCUCUUGAAUUAAACGCUGUUAUCUGGCUUUUAAGACUGGUCUCGAUCUACUUCAUGCAUAAUUAAUGAACUUACAAAUCAUUAAUGAAUUAGAAUGAGUGCGAAUUUGGUUUUGGCUACAAAACAUACAGGAAUUUAGAAAUUCCACUAACAAUUGGUCCUUCGAUCCCGGAUCUAAAUACCCCUCCCUGUUAUCUGGAGGUAGUACGCUGAAAAUCGUGCACGGACUCGUUUUUGACUCGUUUUACUAAAGACCUGACCUCUGAAUUGAGGUUCAAAUUCAGGCCUGCGUAUUAUCACGGAGUACAGAGAAGGUGACUAGAUUCAAAUGAACAAUGCUUUCCCAGCCGGCAGCAGGUAAAGUAGCCUUUAUUCUCGAUUCUGGGGGAUUUGAGUUCUUUAAUUGAUGUUCUGAAAUUUUCAGAAUUCAUCAAUAAUGGGAGCUGUGCUAUUCCCACAGGGUUUGUAUGACCAUCAUACACUGGGUUUUGUAUAACCGAUAUACACUGAAGCAGGUUCGAAAAUAACCUGUGGUAAUGUGCACUACCGUAAAUAAAAUAAACUUAAUCAUGAGAGGCACACCCGCCCGAGAUUAAGACGGGAUAUUAAAUAGGUACUGGGGGAUAGGACGGUGAGCUUGUACAAAUACUGGGCGUAGGGAGACGGCAAGAAUGCGCAAGAUAACUGGAUUGGUCAUUUGAAUAGUGGCAGUAUUGAUCAUCGUUCCGAUUCAACUAAUACUACGGAAAUAUCCAAAUAAGGAGGAGAGGGAACUUAAAUCUAAAGAAAUGAGAUAAAAGCCAUAUCUAUAGACAGGAUAGUUCCAUGCGAGAGGGGAGUCUAACAAUUAGUGGCGUGAGAUAACGAUUAUUAGCGUUCUUUAAAAGCCCUCUGACACAACCGGAAAAUAAGAUUUUAACUAGGGCUUUACAAACCCUGGGCUUAUAGUUGUAAGGUAAGACCUAAUAUCUGAUUCAAAAGUCAAAGCUAUUGGUAAGAUUUCCAUAAAAGAGACACACAAACAGUCAGACAGAAAAGGAAGGAUUGUUUAGAAAUUCCACAAAAGAAGUGUCGAAAAACUAGCGGGAGAUUACCGUAAUAAUUUAAACAGAGAAUGGAAGGGAAGCAUCCAAAAUCUGACUCAGACAAAGAACCUGAAUGGAAGCUGAUAUUUAAAACCCUUCCUUGCUAUAUCUGUAAUUAGGACGAUUUUCGGGGAAUUCCCGGUGUCGAAGUUUUGGGACUACGGACAAUUAUAAUAAUAAUAUUGAGAAAAAUGGAUAAGGUGAGUCAAAAGAAGGUUUAAUUGUAAUCCCGGCCGAGGCGUUUAACUAAAAUUAAUUUUAGAUUGUAAUUGACCUAUUUGCAUGUUUUGCCUGAAAAAUACGGUCGCCAAUGUUUGUAAAAGAUAUUAAAUGAACGUUUAUUAUGUGUUUUAGAUUGAAUUCAUUUUGUUAAAAAAGAAGGCAUUAAAAAUAAUGGCGAGACAAUUUCGAUGAAAAACGCUAUUUUGCCCAAAAUUAUCUGGUGGAAUAAUGUAUUGAGAUGGGAGUCGUAUUUAAAUAAAUGUAUCAUAGAAGAGAAAGUCACCUAAAGAAAUGUAGGGAAUAACGGAGAGAUACGAUACAAUUUCGGGCUAUCCGGAUGUUAUAGCUAUUUAUGAAUCGACUGACAUAUGAUAAGUUUAACACAAAACAUGGUACGUUUAAAUGUUAGAGUAUGGUAAGUUGAGAAGUUGGGUUGGUUUUACUUUGAUGAUUAGAAUUUAAAACUGAACGCAAUCUGAAUAGGGAAUAUAUAUUUUACAGAGGCAGGCAGAUGGGUGAUGACGUUGCACGUUUAACAACAUCGUUCCUCAAAUUUAAACCGAGAAAAGGGGUUGUGGCAUUUAGAGGAAAAAUGCAUGCAUUAUAGCUUAGAGUUACUUUUCAAAAGCGGCCAGAAGUUCCAGAUACAUUUCAUUUUAAAAAAGGAGAAGUAUCGUAAAGAUGCCACAGCUUGCAACGGAAGUGCCAAGCACUAAAUGGACUAUAUAGUGCAACGCUUUGGACUAUAAAAUAGAUUUUAUGCACUACAGGUGAACUACAGGUGAAGUCACUCAAUCCAGUCCCAUAGGCUUGUUGGGGGGACCAUACCAAGGACUCCUGGUAACAGCUAGCUGAAAGAGCUACCCGGAUUCAUAUCGCACUGCGGGAGGGUAAGGCACAGUGACCCUGUCGAACAAUAACAGAGUUCGAGAGGAGAACUGGAAUUAACAGAAUUCUGGGGGCCAUCUCUCGAAUGAAAAAUACUUUACCUGUCCUUUCCUCACUGUUGUUGUUCAUAGAAGUGAAGAUGUGUCUGACUCUUGCUAAGCGAUGUGUUCUAGGGGAGAGGGUGGGGCUUCACAUGGAAGCUGUUCGUCUUCCAAAAUAAAAGAGAUAUCGGUGCAGGUUCCCAUAUUGAUCGUGGACACAGGUCAUAGCUCAUUGGGAGAGAGGGCGAUAUGAAUCCACUCACCCAGUAUGGAAGAAGGUAGAGUAGAGUGGCAUAAAGAUACGCUUAACCCUUUAAAUAGAAAUGAAGGAGGAUCAAGGGUUGUGGUAUGGAGAUGACCAGGUCUUGGUCGACACCCUAGUACGGUUCUGGAUAGAGGAGUUUGGGCUGUUCACGAAAGCAGGAAUGCCAGAUAAUGACAGUUGUAUUGAUUUGCACUAUUUAAAUCCCCAGGUUCCUCCCUUUACAGUAUCCAGAGGAGAUUAUUACUGUUUGGCCCGAUAUAGUACUCAUGGAAAAAAAUGUGGGAGAAGUUAGUACUUGUAAUAGAACAGAGAAUGUUCACUCAUUCGACACCAGGACAUGAAGUUAUCUAAACGGGAAAAGAGAAGCACUCCAUCUGGGUCAUUUGAUGACAAGGUAUACAUUGAUAACAUUGGGGUUCCAGGGGAGGUGCCAGAUUAGUCAAAGCAAGAAAUCAGAUCCUAGCAGGAUUAGAGUUAAGCAUUUCCGGGGCUCUACUCUCAUAAGAACGUGGGCUGGAUUAAUUAUAUUUAUGAUAAUCAACAGCGAUUUAACAGGUAUACCAGAGGUGUUAUUAAAGGUUUUGUAGAACAGACUGAAGUAACCAGCUGGAAGGCUUGACAGAAUAGAAUUGCAUUAGAUAUGUUAAUGGCUGAAAAGGGAGAAGUAUGCGUGAUAAUCAGGACCAUGUUUGUGCUUACAUCCCAAAUAACACAGCUCCGGACGAAUCAGUGCCCGAAGCCUCAGCUGGUUUGACCACCCUGGCUCACGGGUUGGCAGAAACUCUGGGGUGGAUACUUCUCUGAACUAAAUUGGGUUGACAGUGUGUAUGGAAAAAUGUUGUGAUAUGGGCUACCUUCACCUGUGUGACUGUGUUAGUUUUGUACGGACGUGGUUGAUUGCGUGUAUGUAUGAAAGUUAUUAUUUCCAGGACUCUGGAGUAAUCUAUGACAAUAGAUGAUGAGGUGUGGGACGAUUCCAGGUCCUGACCCGUGGAGGACUGAAUGCCUGACUACAGGACAAGUGGACAAAUCUGGAUCUUUCAUCAUUGGGGAAUUUAUGUUUGAUGAGACUAGUGUUGAGGAUAGAAUUAGAUUGUACUUUGUUUCAAUAUUAGACUGUUUUUUAAUAAAGAUUGUAACGAAAAUCCUGAAAGAAGAGUUAUGAUUCUGAUGUAGGUUUAAAAACAGUUGGAGUUAAGGUUAGAUUUGAUUAAUGAUGGGUGAAGAGUCGGAUAAACAUUUAUAAUAAUGUUGGUUAUAUGUCUAUUCAUAUGAUAAUCUGAUAAACCUUUAUAAUAAUGUUAGUUCAUAUUUUUAUUUUUUAUUUUUGAUAAAAUUAGAUGUAGAUUUGAAUGUAUAAUAUUUGAUCAAAGGGAGGAUUGUUGGAGGAAAUUAUGGUUGAAAUGAAUAAUUAUGUAUACAUUCCAAUCAGAACUGACUAGUCCAAAUGCUAUAAUGUACUGUACAUAUGAAUUUUCUCUCUUGCUCCCUUUCCCAAUUGUAUAUAAUGUAGUCAGGAGUUUAGUAACAAUGAAGGUCUGUUCCUUAGUUCAUUCAUUUGGACAAUCUCCAGGUGGCAGGAACGGGCUAUCUCCAGACUGUCUAGAAUGCUGAUUUAUACUGACUGACCUUGACUUCAGGCGUGGAGCGAAAAGCUCGAGAAACUAUAGGGCCUCUAAGAGAUAGAACGUUUAGAAAAUGCUGACGUCAUUGUCAGUUUAUAACCUGUGGAAAUAUGUGUAUGUGGUAGUGCUCUCUUGAAUUAAACGCUGUUACCUGGCUUUUAA